rnacentral:lncRNA from 1 species
AGAACUUUGGAUGGCGCCAGGGUAGGGAGAUGCUUGUGGAUGGCCUUUUGUUUUUUGGCAAGCGAGAAAAGAAGGUGAGUGAGGACUGAGGAGUCUGGCGACGACGUGUCGUUGUUGCUGUCCAUGUAGAAUAAAAUAUUUUGGAUUAAAAUAAUGUGAAAUUGGCUGUGGUGGUGAGUGACAAAUUGGCAUCAAAACCAGCUAUCCAUAUCAAAUCGUAUCUUGUGAAAAGGAUGAGGGGAAGGGAACCCAUAACAUGAAAUAUCAGACACAUUUUGUGGCUUCUGGCACUUUCACAUGUUUUCUCUUCCUAACUUGUUGGCAAAAGCAUUUCGGGACUACUAUAUCUAUUAAAAACUGAAGAAGAAGAUCUUGUUGACAUCAAAGAUUGUUCCAAAUGAGAUUAAGAUUGCGGUAAUCAGGGUCGACUCACCAUAAAAAUGUUACAUUUCCCUUUUCAAAGAGUUUUAUUAGUUAAAAAUUUGCAGUUUGGUUGAUUAACAAUAUGUCUCACAUAAAGAAAUUAGAUCAUCUCUUUUUAUCUCGUUAUCGAUUUUUAGUUUUAUUCUUUGUUCAAAUUUUGCAACAUGUGUUCUGUUUUAACCGACACAUCGUCAUUAAUCUUCGGCAUAAAAAAUAUUAUUAGUUAAUAACGAUUUAUAUAUAUGACUGUAUGCAAGAUGAUCUCUUUCGCUGUAUUUGUAAGGAGAGCAUGAGGGCCAAAAUACUAGGUAAGAACAAAGAAUUUAGCAAUUGACAGGUACAGGGAAGCUUCAAAAACCGAGUAAUGGAACAACGAAGAAGUCUGCGUACGGAGUUGGGUGUUAACUUUUCUUUGGGAAUUUAGAUUAACUUAAUGAUGAAGAGAAGCAGCAAGUACCAGAAGUUUCGAGAGCCAUCUUUUUUUGUGUCACAUGUGACAAGUCAAAAGCUAAUAUCAUUAAGUUAAUCUCCUCUUACAUUUAGGUUUAUGGGUUUUCGGCCACGUGUUCUAGACCAAAGUUUGGUUCAAUGUAAAAGUUGGUAGAAGCUUUUCAGCAAAGGAGAAGGAGGUGUCCCUAAUGGUACGGACAAUUAAAAGUAGGCAAAAUUGGAUUAGAAAGGCUAAUGUGCAUUGAUAUCUACUUAAUUGUCUCGUAAAACAGUUUGUCACUCGGAUUAGCAAAUUAAGUAGGCAAAAUUAAUUUUUAUUAAUUUUAUUUAUAACGGUUUUAACAUUUAAUUUUGGCAUGAUGCUAGAGAGAUUAUAUUUUUAGGCUUUUUUCUGUAGACUAAAUAGUAUGGAGGCUGAUAAUUAGACUUCUUCUUUAGAUUAAAAAAGUUCCAAAACAUCAACUGUCACUUCAUGUGAUUUACAAAAGAUUGUCUAAAAAUUUGGUCUUCUUAUAAUUUUCACUAGUUUUAUCAUCUUCGUCCACAUGAAAUAUUGUACUAAUAAAAAGACGUGAAGCCCGAUUUGACUAUUCAUGGAACUAUAGAUAACAAUUGUCAAUUUUGAGAGAGUAGACAAAAUUUGCAAACUUAAUUGGCUAUACCACUAGAGUUAAUUUUUGUCUGCAAAAUAGAUUUGCCUACUAAACUGCCUAUAACGCUUUAAAAAGGCAAAGCAAACACCAAAAGAUUGGGUAAGAACGUAAAGGUAAGUAGAUGAACUUCAAUUUUUGGGAGAUACCUUAAGGGGAAGGGAGUUU